rnacentral:rRNA from 1 species
AUACGGAGGGUGCGAGCGUUAAUCGGAAUUACUGGGCGUAAAGCGCGCGUAUGCGGCUUGUUAAGUCAGAUGUGAAAGCCCUGGGCUUAACCUGGGAACUGCAUUUGAUACUGGCAGGCUAGAGUAUGGUAGAGGGAAGUGGAAUUCCGGGUGUAGCGGUGAAAUGCGUAGAGAUCCGGAGGAACACCAGUGGCGAAGGCGACUUCCUGGACCAAUACUGACGCUGAGGUGCGAAAGCGUGGGGAGCAAACAGGAUUAGAAACCCCAGUAGUCC